AGAACAAUCUCCCAGCGAUUACAAAAGGACAAGGAGUACGAUUAGGCCAUACCAAUGCGAUACUGGCUUUUCUCGUAAAAAGUAUAUUAUAAUGUUAGAUCAACGCUAGAGUGAAAAUCUCGGGGGAACAGAGUUCGUGACAGACCCGUGAUAAGAUGGAUGGAUGUCCUCGAAAAGAAAUAUUUUAGAGAUUUGGCUGUGAAAGACUAAAACAGGCGUGAUCCAAGACUGUGGUAUCGACAGCGUGAAGUUGUUAAGGCUGAAAGAAAACUCUAAUUUUAUAUAGGUACACGAUAGGAGGGGAGGGAAGGAUAAGGGUUUCCGAGUGGUUUUUCGGGAUAGUCAGUUACUAAA